GCUUAUCAUGCGCAAUUUGGCACAUGGGGCCGGUGAGGGGACAGUGGAGCUGGUCCCUGCAGCUGGGGCAGGUGACAUGGAGCCAGCAGAGCAGCAGUGGGUGCUGCAGGUGCAGACCUGUGUGCCACAGGAGAUGGGCAUGGAAAGGGUCCAACCCAGCCAGCAGAAACCAGGGUUGCUCAGGUGAAUGGUGCUGCCUCCUGUAGCCCCCUUUGCCCAUGGCUGUGCCCCAGGAGCCCAAGGCAUGACGAGCAGAGGAGGCUCUGUCUCGGCUGGCGGCUGCAGAGGGGCCGGGGCUGCUCCCUGCCUGCGGGGCAGGGCCCGGGGCAGCCUGGCAGCCUUUACCCAGCUCCAUGGGAUAUUUUUAUUUUUUUUCCAUUCAAGCCUGUGCAGAAUUCCUGGCAGGACUGGAGCUUUCGUCCAGAUUGCAGAUGCCCAAAAUAUUCUGGGCUGAGCAGACUGAGGCUGAGGUGCCCGUGGUUGGCUGAUUGAAGAGGACACAGGGGAAUGCAGAAAGACAGACAGACAGACAGACAGAGGAAAAGUGCCUGAGCAUGUAUGGCAGCAGUGGGAAAAAGGAUGGGGGAUGCCCCUGGGGUCUGCCCCAUCUCCAGGCGUGGCUCUCACACCAGCAUGGGAUAUUUUUACUGUUUUUCCCAGUCUGCUGAAGCCUGAGCUCAGUCCAGGGCAUGGUUUUGCCCCAGAUUAGCUUGUGCUACCAGCCAUUAAAUUUGGUUGCAUUGCUGUUAUGUUAUGCUUCUCAUUUUAAAUUAUCUUCUAAACUGUGCACACCUGGCAUCUUCAGGAGCCAGGAUCUGUGAAAUAAAAGUUAAAAUGCUAGUUGGAAUAAGGCAUUUAUGUGUAUUCUUUCACACACACAGAGGAAUGCACACAGCUACUGAUAAAAACCACGUUUGUUCAUACAUACAUGUUUCUAAUCAGAUUUAUAAUGUAUGUAAUAUAAAUGUUUUUCUACAUAUAAAAUUCAUUGGAAACAGGAAACCAAAUUAGUUUACCUUACUAAAGUGGCAUGAAAUAAAGAGCAGUGUGCACUGUUGAAAAGAAGGUAGGAUGUGGUUUUUGGAGGACUUUUCUUCCCCCAGGGCUCGUUCUACCAUGUUUAUGUCUAAAACCUGCUAAUUUUAAAGCCAGCUCACGGGAGACUAAUGGCAUGACUCAUUUAUUUCAUUUCACUUUCAUUCUGCCGAGCUCAGGGUUUGUUUAAGGUGCUCACAUGUCAGCAGCUCGUGCAAACACACCAGUGGAUGCUACAGGAAACCACAAAUGGCCGUGAGUAUCUGCACACACUGACCCCCCCUGUUUGUCCAUGAACAGGAGCCACUCCAGUGAGCUGAAUCUGAUUUUAAAAGAUCUUUUGAGUGUUAAACAUGUAAUAAGAUGCUCAGUGCUGUUUUCAAACCAAGACAUGUUCCUGGCUAAUUUAUAAAAGGCCACAGUCUCCACUUUUAUGUGGGCAAAUGCUUUUAAAAAUUGGCUCCUGGGAUUUUGGGUGCUCAUUGAUUCAUCCUCUCACAAGCCUCCAUCUCUGACCUUUCCAUUACCAAUUUUCCAUCUCCAACUGCUUCAUCAUCCUCCUGAGCAUGGGCACACAGCUAAUAAAUCUGAGUUUUUAAUUGCCCUCCCACACUGUGUGGCUUUCUCUGAGCCAUCAUUCCUGUCGCUGUGCCUUGUCGCAUCCCUCUGCUUCCAGGUUGGUGCUGCUGGAAUCAGCAAGAGGAUAAAACUGUUAUUUAGGUUUGGGUUUAGGUACAAAUCCCCUCAGUAACACACUCCAUGGCUGCGUGGCCCCACACGAUGUGUCUGACAUGGCUGAGCUGGCUCUGCCUGGGGUAGGUACAACCCCUCUGCUUUUAUCUCAUGCAAGGUCCCAUUUUUUUAUUCUUUACGCACCUGAAACAAUGCGAAAAAUUUGUGUAGGGAAAAAACCCCACAAACCCACCACAAAUUCCCUUGCUAAAGACAUCAGUAAGGGCGGAGGGUCCUGAUGGCCCAGUGGUGCCAAGACCCCUAGGGUGGAAAAGCCUCAAGAACACCCAUUGCCUCUGGUACCCAAGGGAGAUUUAUUUAUUUAUUCCCCCCAGUUUAUCUCCCUGUCAGGAAGUUUCCCACAGCCCUCCAGGAGUGGGUGCAGCAGUAUCAGCAGGCACAGGUCUAUCAGGCUGAGCAGAAGCUUUUCCAGGAACCAUCCAGUGCCACACGUGACCGUGCCCGGCCGAAGGGCGAUACGUGACAGGCAUUCACCGGCUUCCCGGCCGGUCAGUUGACUUUGUUAUUCAAACUAUUUUAGUGAUGGUUUUUAAUCCCAGGCUUAAGUUUUUCUUUUUUCUUUUUUUUUUUUUUUUUCUCCCUCUUCUUUUUUUUACUGUCUGAACAAGGGAAUCUCUAUGCUGGCAGGAUUCAGAGAGGCACAAAGGAGGGAAAAACAAGUUUCAGCCAGAAGAGAGAGAGAGAAAAAAAAAAAAAGGAUGCUGUUAGCAUUCCCUGUAUUUGAGGGGGUAAAAACAUUUUGCUGUCAGAUCUGUUUUAAAGGAUAAGUGCUAACAGCAGCCCAGUUACUAUGCAAAUAAAUUGUGUGCUCAGCCUUUCCCUCUCAGUGCAAAGUUUUGGGGCUUGUUAGCCAGGGGAGCUGGGCCGUGGGGGCUGGCAGUGCCCCCCUGUCCCCAGUGCUCCCACCCCAUCCUGGGGAUAGCCACUGGCUGGGGAUGCCACUGCCAAGCUCUGGACCUUGAAAGGAGCCCGUGGGGGUGCCCAAGUGUCCCCCAGACAAGGUGGGACAGCGUGGGGAGCACUGCAGAGGUGUGGGCUGGGUACCCCCUGCUCCUUGUCAAAAGCAGAUUCAGGCAGCUGGCAGCAGAGCCCUCGGCUGUGCCUCUGUGACAGGGGACACCCCAGGGAGAGGGAGGGCCUGGAAAGGGCAGAAAUCUCACCCAAGACAUCCCUUUUCAUGGCAGGCAAGUGGGGGAGGUCUGGCAGCAGCCACCCUGGGUUACAGGGCUGUCUCUCACUCGCUGCUGCCAGGUGGAAAGGGAGGUGAUGCCAGGACAUGAUGCCAGACUGUGCCUGGGUUCAUCCAGGUGAUGACCAGCGCCCCAGCACCGGUAUUUAUGGUGGCACCUCCCCAUGACAGCAGAGGGGCUGCACAUGCCCCAGCCCACACAAGCCAAACCUCCCCCUGACAGCCCCAGUGUGAUGGUUUCCUAUAAAAAAGAUUUGAAUUUGUCAUGCAAAUGACUGGGCAUGUGAGCACAGCUGCUGAGAGGUGGCCUGGGCUGGGUCAGCUGCCAGCACGGCCACAGGGAUGUGCCCAGGACAAAGUCUGGCCCCUCAAAGCUGCUCCCACCCCUGGAACCUGCCAAGCAGAUGGUGCUGCCAGGGCUGUGCUGCCAAAACCACCCAGCCCUUGCCACUCCUCCUGGUCCCUUUGGCUCACUGAAGCUUUUAAAACCAGCAUUGUGACCCCCCUGCUUGUGCCCUCCCUUGGCUUCUCUCUGCCUGCAGCAGAGCUGAGCUGCCCAAAAUGAGCUUUCUUUGUGGUGGGACCACAUAAGGAGGUGGAAGUGGAUGCCCCAUCAAGCAAUGCGCUAAAAAAAAAAAAUAAAUUAUACUUUUAAGCAAUUUCAAAAUUAUUUAAGCACUUGAGCCACCCUGAUCAGCCGGGAGGCAGGCAGCCUCUGCCUCUCACCCACACCCCGCUGCUCGUACUCUGCAGUUUAGCUCUUGUCCUUCUAACACAGCAAUCCUUUGAGCUCUUCCCACUUUCCCAGCCUAGCACAGGAUAGGGAAGUGCUUGGGCUCCUUUCCGGAGGCUGCCAGCACCACCUGGCAGCACAGCCCCGCUCCCACCGGGCAGGAGGACGGCAGAGGCCAUGAUUCUGCAAUUUCACAGCCGGCUUUUCGCAAGCAGGAAGGAGGCAGGUCGGGCUGCUCCUGCUGCUGGUUUGAUGUGGCUGUUUCUCGAAAUGAGCCCGGAGCAAAACUGAGCGGGAUCCAGGAAUGGCACUCGGCAGCGCCGGUGCUGGGAGCGCCGCCUGCGCCCCGGCUUCCUGGCAGUUUGGCACCUUUCAGGAAAUCAGACAGCUAAAUGGAAAAUCAUCACUCUCUUCACUUCAGAGCGCACUGCACACAUGGGUUUUUUCAAGAACAAACCCAUGUUCAGCAGCCUUGUCGCCCCCAUUGAGGAGGGGAGAUGUGUGUCCCCAGUGAAGACAAAAGCCCAGUUCAGCAGUGCCAGGCACCGCUGCCUGGGGACGGGCACCUCAACGCUGCUGCGCUGGGGCCAAGGGCUCCCCAGCACCUCCCAGCACCCCCAUCCAAAAAUCCUGCCCUCCCUUCUCCUCAGGAGGACUCCUGACAGGGAGAAAGAAGAAUUGCUGAAUAAUCUCCAGCCCCAAUAGCACUUCAAAGGCAGGGCCUGGGCCAGGCUGCGCUCCGCCAGCGCCGGGCUGCAUGCGGCGCUCGGCUCUUACUCCUUUGGCAGCCCCACAGCAGUUCCAGAAAGUAAUUACUUAAAAAGGAAAUAAAUGUCACCCACAUGGCUGUAAGCAAAACCCCGGGCAGGAUGAGCAGAGCCCCACCAGGAUCUGCAUUCUCACGCAACGCAAGCAAGGCAGGAGCGGGUUGUUUCCAUUCAUCGAGAUGGGCAUUUUACUCCGAGGGCUACUGGUGACAUUAGAAAUGCCCACCGUGGGCAUUUAAGCUCCCCAGGGCAGCCACAGCGUUGAACUGCCUCUGCUUUCAUCCUACAGCAUCCUCUUCCCCCAGGAUGGCUUUAGGCAUCACCACCUGAACCAGCAGCAGAUGAUGGUGCCAAAAAUGCAGCCCUUCCUGGCACCAGGCCCACUGUGAUCUUUAUGGAGAUGAACCAGAUAACUGGCAUGAUCAAAGAGAGUCAUUUUAUUUACUUUUACAGAUUAAUUCUUGAAGUUUGUAAUUGUCAAAACCUGAACACCAAACUUCUAAAGCAAGUUGAUUGGGGGAAGUCAAAUGUAGCACCAGAGCAGCGAAUGAGGCUCAAGGGUUAAAGUCUCUCUGCUGCUGGCACCUGCCUGGUUCUGCUGGAUCUGAGACACCCUCAGCAAAUCCCCUUAACCAGGACAGGGCUCUGGCAGACCACUCUCUUUCAGAGAAAUUCAAUCUUAGAAAAAUAACCCCCCAACUUAUUUUAAGCAAAUAACAGAAGGAAAGUGAUGGCCUGAAAACUCUGGGAUGAGAUCCCAUCUGCCCCUACUGCCUCUGGAGCUGCACCAGGAUGGCAGCACCUCCCACCCGCUGCUCCACGCAGCGUGAGGAAGCACUUGGCACCAGCCCACGGGGUUUUGUGAGCUCAGAAACCCUGAGGUGCCUCGGGACACGCAGAGCAAGGGCAGUGUGGGACAUGCUGCAGGAUGCUGGCAGCAGGGGCUCCUGUCACAGCCCACCCUGGCACACUGGAGGGUGAAGCCCAGCAUGGCCAGACCAGGUGGGCUGGGAAACACUCCCUAAGGCACUGCAGCCCAGCAAACAUGGUACCAUAGAGCAUCGAAUAAUCUUAAAAGUUAAAAUAGUUUAUUGCUGUCUUUGUAGAAAUGCACUUACAUCGCCUGUUCUCUUCCUUUAUUUGGCUGUUGGAUUACAGGCAUGAAAAGGUUACAUUUACCCAUUUGUUCAGUGACAUAACACCUUUUUCUCUAUUGCUCCACUCACGAUAUUCUCCUAAACCUUGCUGGCCAACAGCCCCAAAUCUCUUUUACAUAAAUACUGUAAAUGUCUCCAUAGGUUGCAGCAUUGUAACAAAAGAUCUACCAAAGUAGACAAAAUGUUCAGUAUUCUUGGUUGGUUUUUUGCAUUUAAAAAUAUACCUAAAUUUGAGAUAAUCUUAACAGAGUAACAAUUACAAUAAGAAAAUAGUACAGUGCGUUGACUAAAGGAAUAUUCUGCUCUCCUUCAAGCCAAUAUUCCCUUUUGCAUGUUGAAGUGAUUCAGCAAUUACUUAAGAACUUUUACCUACAUACAAUAAUUUAGUAAAAUGAGAAUUAAACAAGGCAGAUACUUACUACUAUUCUUCUGUCUGCAAUUCACAGCUCAUGCGAAUAAAAUCGCAAUAAAUAUUAAAAAAUAGUUUUUCUUUUGCUUUUUUUUUUUUUUCUGUAAGGCAUCUCUGAGUAUUACAAAGUUUUUGUACAACCAAAAAAUAAGAUUGCUUUUUUUCCAUGUUCUCCAAGUACCUCUGUACCUCACCAGUAAAUAAGAGGAUUGUAGGCUGGAUGAGGAAGGAAGGGCUGACGGGGAAGGGGGCAGAAAGAAGACCACAGGUGAUGGAAGCAGCAAGAAUCUGUCGUUUUCCUGUGAAACAUUUCAGCCGCUUUUAGAACAUCUUCAAGACAGUAUCUGUCCAGAUGGAAGGGAACAAAAAAAAAAAAA